rnacentral:rRNA from 1 species
UACGUAGGCAGCAAGCGUUGUUCGGAGUUACUGGGCGUAAAGAGUAUGUAGGCGGUUGCGUAAGUUCGGUGUGAAAUCUCCCGGCUUAACUGGGAGGGUGCGCCGAAAACUGCGUGGCUUGAGUGCGGGAGAGGAGAGCGGAAUUCCUGGUGUAGCGGUGAAAUGCGCAGAUAUCAGGAAGAACACCCGUGGCGAAGGCGGCUCUCUGGGACGGUACUGACGCUGAGACGCGAAAGCGUGGGGAGCAAACAGG